rnacentral:rRNA from 1 species
GAUGAACGCUGGCGGCGUGCCUAAUACAUGCAAGUCGAGCGAACGGACGAGAAGCUUGCUUUUCUGAUGUUAGCGGCGGACGGGUGAGUAACACGUGGAUAACCUACCUAUAAGACUGGGAUAACUUCGGGAAACCGGAGCUAAUACCGGAUAAUAUUUUGAACCGCAUGGUUCAAAAGUGAAAGACGGUCUUGCUGUCACUUAUAGAUGGAUCCGCGCUGCAUUAGCUAGUUGGUAAGGUAACGGCUUACCAAGGCAACGAUGCAUAGCCGACCUGAGAGGGUGAUCGGCCACACUGGAACUGAGACACGGUCCAGACUCCUACGGGAGGCAGAAGUAGGGAAUCUUCCGCAAUGGGCGAAAGCCUGACGGAGCAACGCCGCGUGAGUGAUGAAGGUCUUCGGAUCGUAAAACUCUGUUAGUAGGGAAGAACAUAAGUGUAAGUAACUGUGCACAUCUUGACGGUACCUAAUCAGAAAGCCACGGCUAACUACGUG